rfam:Triticum urartu cultivar G1812 contig946709, whole genome shotgun sequence.
GUAGUACUCCCUUCGUCCGAAAAUACUUGUCCUUGAAAUGGUUGUAUCUAGACUUAUUUUAGUUAUAGAUACAUCCAUUUUAUCUAAUUCGAGGACAAGUAUUUCCGGACGAAGGGAGUACCAU